rnacentral:misc_RNA from 1 species
AAGGAUUUUAUAGAGUGAAUCAACUUGGUAAUGGAUUAAGGACCACAGGAAUGUGAGUAGUGGUUCCCAUUACCAACUAUCAUAACCUUUUCUGCAGGAAACAUUAAUAAAGGUUUUUUGUUACUGAAAAAGCACUGGCUCCCAUGUUAUGUAUUCCAUGAUGAAGAAAAUCCAAAAAUGAGAGGAAAAUUGAACAGUUGGGAAGUUGGCUCUCAUUCUUUAUUCUAACACAAUCAACCUCGUAAUGGCAAAUGGGUUCCUAGGACCUAAGGUGCGACGCCUAUUAUUUAUCAUCCAUAUCAAUGAUGUUUUAGCCACUGCAUUACCAAGAAAUAUGCUUCUGAAGUGUAUGGUCAUUUGGAUGACUGAAUUUGUCUAGAUUGCUCUGCAGAAAAGAAAGCUAGCA